GUGAAUGAAGUUCAGUNGGUAGAAUGCUUGCCUAGCAUGCAAGAGGCCCUGGGUUCAAUCCCCAGCACCUCACA
rnacentral:tRNA from 1 species